rnacentral:rRNA from 1 species
GACGAACGCUGGCGGCGUGCCUAAUACAUGCAAGUAGAACGCACAGUUUAUACCGUAGCUUGCUACACCAUAAACUGUGAGUUGCGAACGGGUUAGUAACGCGUAGGUAACCUGCCUGGUAGCGGGGGAUAACUAUUGGAAACGAUAGCUAAUACCGCAUAAUAUUUGUUAUUGCAUGGUAAUUGAUUGAAAGAUGCUAUUGCAUCACUACCAGAUGGACCUUCGUUGUAUUAGCUAGUAGGUGAGGUAACGGCUCACCUAGGCGACGAUACAUAGCCGACAGGCUAUGGUGGUCGGCCAGCCUGGGACUGUGACACGGCACAGAGUCCUUCGGGUGGCAGCCGUAGGGAAACUUCGGCAAGCGACGAAAGUCUGACCGAGCAACGCCGAGGCAGUGAAGAAGGUCUUCGGAUCGUAGAGCUCUGUUGUAAGAGAAGAACGGGUGUGAGAGUGGAAAGUUCCCACUGUGACGGUAACUUACCAGAAAGGGACGGCUAACUACGUG